rnacentral:rRNA from 1 species
GCCGCGUGAGUGAAGAAGGUUUUCGGAUCGUAAAGCUCUGUUGUUGGUGAAGAAGGAUAGAGGUAGUAACUGGCCUUUAUUUGACGGUAAUCAACCAGAAAGUCACGGCUAACUACGUGCCAGCAGCCGCGGUAAUACGUAGGUGGCAAGCGUUGUCCGGAUUUAUUGGGCGUAAAGCGAGCGCAGGCGGAAAAAUAAGUCUAAUGUGAAAGCCCUCGGCUUAACCGAGGAACUGCAUCGGAAACUGUUUUUCUUGAGUGCAGAAGAGGAGAGUGGAACUCCAUGUGUAGCGGUGGAAUGCGUAGAUAUAUGGAAGAACACCAGUGGCGAAGGCGGCUCUCUGGUCUGCAACUGACGCUGAGGCUCGAAAGCAUGGGUAGCGAACAGGAUUAGAUACCCUGGUAGUCCAUGCCGUAAACGAUGAGUGCUAAGUGUUGGGAGGUUUCCGCCUCUCAGUGCUGCAGCUAACGCAUUAAGCACUCCGCCUGG